CCCUAAUUUAAAAAACUCUCUCUGAAACCCUAAUUUAAAAAACUCUCUCUGAAACCUUAAUUUGUUCUCACAACCGUCGUCCCUCCCAAAACUCUCUUUCUUUUCCGUCUUUUAUCUUCAGAUUUUGCCAUCGGCCGCAGCUACACCGUACUCCAAAAUCUCAUCCUGCACUGCCCCCAUUCAAAACACUGGCUCUCCAUCGCCAUCAAUCCAUAUCUCGCUGCACACCACUCCACCCCUCACGGUUUUAAAGCUCUAGCUGUUGUUUGAUGGAAUUACGGGUAGGACUUGACUCUCACGAAGAGGCGUGAACAUAUAUAAUUUCACUUUUCAAGGUUGAAGUGACAUUUGAGAUUUGAAGAGUACUGUUAAGCCGGACAAAAUUUUUGUACCGAAGAUUUUUUGUUAUUAUUUUUUAUUUUAAUAUUUUUAAGACUUUGC